CCUACGGGAGGCUGCAGUGAGGAAUAUUGGUCAAUGGACGCAAGUCUGAACCAGCCAUGCCGCGUGCAGGAAGACGGCUCUAUGAGUUGUAAACUGCUUUUGUACGAGGGUAAAUCCCGAUACGUGUAUCGGGUUGAAAGUAUCGUACGAAUAAGGAUCGGCUAACUCCGUGCCAGCAGCCGCGGUAAUACGGAGGAUUCAAGCGUUAUCCGGAUUUAUUGGGUUUAAAGGGUGCGUAGGCGGACUGGAAAGUCAGCGGUAAAAUCGAGAGGCUCAACCUCUUUCCGCCGUUGAAACUGUCGGUCUUGAGUGGGCGAGAAGUAUGCGGAAUGCGUGGUGUAGCGGUGAAAUGCAUAGAUAUCACGCAGAACUCCGAUUGCGAAGGCAGCAUACCGGCGCCCGACUGACGCUGAGGCACGAAAGCGUGGGUAUCGAACAGGAUUAGAUACCCGGGUAGUC
rnacentral:rRNA from 1 species